AUGUUCCUGUCCACCCCACUUCCCCAUCCCUUUCUCUUUCCUGAGUAAAAAAAAGGUUGCGACGAUUCGCGUCUAUCGACAACGAACAACACGGGUGACGGCGGCGUGGUGCUCGGCGAAUUGGGGCGGCCUGCCUGGUGGAGCGCUGUGCUGCUCGCCGGGUGGUCUCGACCUAGGGUGGUUGUUCAGCGAAUUGGGGCGGCCUGGUGUGCGGCGUCUGCCUAGGUCUAGUGCGGCGCUGUCCGCGAAGCUGUGGCAGGCAAUUGCGUCGGCAGUACUGUUGUUUGGAUUGAAAUUUGGUUUGGUGCACGAGGGGAGUUCUUGUAAGAGCUGGUACUCAGAAGACUGUUGCUUUUGUUAAAGCAGGGAUCGAGGCUUUUGUCAAAAAAGGAAUACUCCAUUUUUUCACGGUGGUGGGUGGUCGUCGAUCGCAGUAGGCUUACCAGUCGUGCAACAUCUCUUGUAGUCCUCGUGGCCAGGUUACAUUGACCGUUGGCUUGCUUGUUGAUGUGGUCUGCAUCUCCUCCCAGCAAGACGGUCGUCAAGCAGGCCUUAGCCGCUGGAGCUCUCAAGACGAUAAAUCAGAAGUUUAAGGUUCCUUUGUUCUUGGUCAGAAUUCAGAAGUUUAAUGAUUAUUACCAUGAAGUAAUUAAGCUUUUCAUGUCAACUGGAGACAAAGAAACCUACAUGCUUCUUAUGGCUACACAUGACAGAAAGACCUACCUCUAAAGAUUGGAGGAUGUUCGCCAAUAUUUACAGAUUGACUAUGGAAGAAAUUUUUACAUGAAGGAAAAGCUUCGCCUCUCUGUCUUGUUUCUCUGUUUACUUUUGAUUCAUACCUGUAGCCAGCAUGUUCAUGUGAUUUUACUGAAAUUGGUACAUCCAAACUUCGCUUGUUAUAACUUAGGUUUUAAAUCUUUUUUUCAGAUUAUGGUAGUAAAUCCUCAGUCUACCUUCAAGUGUGAUAUAUUCUUGUUUGUUGGUGGCCUCUACCUUCAAGUGAAUGACAACAAAUGUAUGAGGGAUAGAGAGAAAUGAGUUUUCUGGAAUAUGUCUCCGUAUUUUAGUGUAUGGUGGGUACAAGUAGUGGUAGAUUCAAAAUUUAGACCUUUUACCAAUAAUCCGUAGCAAAAUUUACGACUGCUGAGAAGAGAGGUGAACCUAAAGGCUUCAGUGCUAUUCUUAGGAUACUAUUUUGCUUCCAGGCCAUGGAUAAGAAUGGUUCAGUCCAUUGAGGGAUUGUUGAACAUGUGAGAAAUUGUUAAGCUGCUUGAAGACCAUGUUCAAAUAUGUGUUUUUUUUUAA